ACGAACGCUGGCGGCGUGCCUAAUACAUGCAAGUCGAGCGGACUGAUUGGAGCUUGCUCCCAGACCGUCAGCGGCGGACGGGUGAGUAACACGUGGUCAACCUUCCUGUAAGACUUGGAUAACUCCGUUAAACCGGGGCUUAUACCUGAUGACUCUUUCCCUCACAUUAGGGAAAGCUGAAAGAUCGCCUCUCGCUAUCACUUACAGAUGGGCCCGCGUCGCAUUAGCUAGUUGGUGAGGUAACGGCUCACCAAGGCGACGAUGCGUAGCCGACCUGAGAGGGUGAUCGGGCACACUGGGACUGAGACACGGCACAGACUCCUACGGGAGGCAGCAGUAGGGAAUCUUCCGCAAUGGACGAAAGACUGACGGAGCAACGCCGCGUGAGUGAUGAAGGUUUUCGGAUCGUAAAACACUGUUGUCAGGGAAGAACAAGUACCGGAGUAACUGCCGGUAGCUUGAAGGUACAUGGCCAGAAAGCCACGGCUAAAUACGUG
rnacentral:rRNA from 1 species